GACGUAGGGGACGAGCGUUGUCCGGAUUCAUUGGGCGUAAAGCGCGCGUAGGCGGUUUGGUAAGUCGGAUGUGAAAACACGAGGCUCAACCUCGUGCGUGCAUCCGAUACUGCCCGACUAGAGGUAGGUAGGGGAGAUCGGAAUUCCUGGUGUAGCGGUGAAAUGCGCAGAUAUCAGGAGGAACACCGGUGGCGAAGGCGGAUCUCUGGGCCUUACCUGACGCUGAGGCGCGAAAGCUAGGGGAGCGAACAGG
rnacentral:rRNA from 1 species